rnacentral:rRNA from 1 species
UACGUAGGGUGCGAGCGUUGUCCGGAAUUAUUGGGCGUAAAGGGCUCGUAGGCGGUCUGUCGCGUCGGGAGUGAAAACUCAGGGCUUAACCCUGAGCCUGCUUCCGAUACGGGCAGACUAGAGGUAUGCAGGGGAGAACGGAAUUCCUGGUGUAGCGGUGAAAUGCGCAGAUAUCAGGAGGAACACCGGUGGCGAAGGCGAGUCCCUGGACACUUCCUGACACUGAGGCACGAAAGCUAGGGGAGCAAACAGG